CCAUUGUCAGAUGCAUCUCUCAGGCUAAUUGUCGUACCAGAACUUCUUCUGAAGUGUCUCAACGAGCUUCUCAUCCACCUGGAACCCCUUGGCUAGUACCUCAGGGGAAAUAGGAGGUUUCGCAUUGAACAGUGCAUUCGCGAUAGUGAUGACUCCUGGACUUUGGCUGCUUAGACCGGUGAUCAUGACUGCAUUGGUCUUUCCAACGUUGAGCUGGAAGUGAAUCAUCCCAAUCGGGAAAA